AUUGAACGCUGGCGGCAUGCCUUACACAUGCAAGUCGAACGGCAGCACGGGUGCUUGCACCUGGUGGCGAGUGGCGAACGGGUGAGUAAUACAUCGGAACAUGUCCUGUAGUUGGGGAUAGCCCGGCGAAAGCCGGAUUAAUACCGCAUACGAACUACGGAUGAAAGCGGGGGACCUUCGGGCCUCGCGCUAUAGGGUUGGCCGAUGGCUGAUUAGCUAGUUGGUGGGGUAAAGGCCUACCAAGGCGACGAUCAGUAGGGGGUCUGAGAGGACGACAGGCCACACUGGAACUGAGACACGGCCCAGACUCCUACGGGAGGCAGCAGUGGGGAAUUUUGGACAAUGGGCGAAAGCCUGGUCCAACAAUGCCGCGUGUGUGGAGAAGGCCUUCGGGUUGUAAAGCACUUUUGUCCGGAAAGAAAUCCUUGGCCCUAAUACGGUCGGGGGAUGACGGUACCGGAAGAAUAAGCACCGGCUAACUACGUG
rnacentral:rRNA from 1 species